AUGAGUCUCCACAAUGAAUGUAAGCAUUGCUGGCCCACAAGGCUCCCUGUCUAAGUAGAUUGUGUAGGCCUGGAGCUCCCUAAAUCAUUAAACUUACUCAUUAUCCCUGUCUCCCAAAGCAACCUGUGUUGCAAUGCAUAAGGAAGCAAAUGAUAAGGAAGCAUAUGGUUCCUGAGGAUCUGUGUGGCCGAGGAGCUUUCUUUUAACCGACUGAGGAACAUCUUACUCCAAAGGGUUGACUUUGGUCUUUUAAGUCAGCAGUGUCAAGAAAUGAAGGAGAAGCUGCAGAUGAAACUGGCAGACAAAGAGUACCCUUGAACCUUAAACCAACUGAGUUUGCAUACAGCGUGAGUAGAAAAGAACUGGGAAGAAAAAUAGGACAUGGUCAUGCAGAAGGAUUCCAGUUGAUAAGAGCCAGAAAGAAAAACAGGACAUGGUCAUUUAGAGCAUUCCAGUCGACUCCCGAGGACCUGACCCUUCCUACAUACCUGGAAGUAGGGGUUUCUAGGCUCCCCUCAAGGAAGAUUCCACUCUCAAGGCAUUCACUGCUCUGUGAGCAGAAGAAGCAGGAGUCUCCUCUGAAGGGAGUUAUUCAGAGCCCUGUAAUUUUUAUUGUACGGAAUCCAGCAUUCAACAAAUAUUUACCAGCAAUUCCAAAAGCCAGCG